GGAUGGGAGUGCCAUAUAGCUGCAGCACUUUUUGUCUCGUUGACUGCCAGGGUUGAUUUGGCUGAUCUGGCUGGAGAGAUGAGUCUCCCCUUCCUCCCUUAUUGUUCCACAUGCGUCUCUCCAGAAGCUGUUUGCUCGGUUGGUCGAUGAGGAUGAUCUUCUGCUAACAGAGGAGCACCAGUGUUUGGUCAAGGGUAUGCGCGUAACCGCCACACCGUUAGAAUCCCCAAACAAGCACUCAAGAGUCUGUCUAUAUAUUUGAAAGAGAGCAGACUUUGCCUCUAGGAGGUGCCUUGAAUGGCUAUAAGAAUUAAGGUAGCAUACACCUAUAACCCCAGUAUUCUGGAUACUGAGGCUGGAAGAUCUUGGGU
rnacentral:snRNA from 1 species